rnacentral:lncRNA from 1 species
AAGAGGAAGAGAUUCUGUACCAGAGGAAGUAGAAACAAUUAUAACAUUGAUAUCAGGAAAUGAAAUCUAGGUUUAAUCAAGUCGGGGGUGGCGCGAUCAGGCUAAGACUCUUCGAAAAGGUCACGAGUUGGUACCAAGUGUGUGUGUAGGGGGGGGGGGGGGUUUGACGUUACAGUGACAUCUAACGCCUUCAUAUUAUCAAACCACAUGUCUGAUAUUGUCCUCUCUUCCUCUCCUCCCUCCCUCCCUCCCUCCCUCCCUCCCUCCCUCCCUCCCUCCCUCCCUCCUCCCUCCCUCCCUCCCUCCUCCCUCCCUCCCUCCCUCCCUCCAUCCCUCCCUCCCUCCCUCCCUCCCUCCCUCCCUCCCUCCCUCUCCUCCCUCCCUCCCUCCCUCCCUCCCUCCCUCUCCUCCCUCCCUUCCUCUCCUCCCUCCCUUCCUCUCCUCCCCUCCUCCCUCUCCUCCCUCCCUCCCUCCCUUCCUCUCCUCCCCCCUCCCUCCCUCCCUCCCUCCCUCCCCCCCUCCCUUCCUCUCCUCCCCCCUCCCUCUCCUCCCUCCCUCCCUCCCUCUCCUCCCCCCCUCCCUCUCCUCCCCCCCUCCCUCUCCUCCCUCCCUCCUUCCCCUCUCCCUUCCUCUCCCCCCCCUCUCCUCCCUCCCUCCCUUCCUCUACCCCCCCCCUCUCCUCCCUCCCUCCCUUCCUCUCCUCCCCCCCUCCCUCUCCUCCCUCUCUUCCUCUCCUCCCCCCCUCCCUCCCUCCCUCCCUCCCUCCCUCCCUCCCUCUCCUCCCCCCCUCCCUCUCCUCCCCCCCUCCCUCUCCUCCCCCCCUCCCUCUCCUCCCUCCCUCCUUCCCCUCUCCCUUCCUCUCUUCCUCUCCUCCCUCUCUUCCUCUCCUCCCCCCCUCCCUCUCUUCCUCUCCUCCCUCUCUUCCUCUCCUCCCCCCCUCCCUCUCCUCCCCCCCUCCCUCUCCUCCCUCCCUCCCUCCCUUCCUCUCCUCCCCCCUCCCUCUCCUCCCUCCCUUCCUCUCCCCCCCCCCUCCUCUCCUCCCUCCCUCACGUUCUAUCCAGGUAUCCAGGCCUACUGCUUGUCCCAUGUGACACGGGAGGAGAGUGCUGGCUAGAAGCCAGUCUGGAGACCGCCAUGUUGCUCUGGAUGCCAGGGACGGAUCACAUGUCGAGGAUCCAGUUCUGUUACUCUGAGACUGUUUGUGAAUAUGGGACCUGA